rnacentral:misc_RNA from 1 species
GGAAGUAAAAGUCGAAACAAGGUUUCCGCAGGUGAACCUGCGGAAGGAUCAUUAUUGUAUAACCGAGGUGCGAGGGCUGUCGCUGACCCGAAAGGUCGUGCACGCCCGAGUGCCCUCACACACAUCCAUCUCACCCCUAUGUGCACCACCGCGUGGGUCCCCCUUUGGCUUGUUCGGAGGGGGGCUUACGUUUUCACACAAACUUUGUAUGCAGUGUAGAAUGUAUUUUUUGUUUUUGCGAUCACGCAAUCAAUACAACUUUCAACAACGGAUCUCUUGGCUCUC